ACUGCUGUAGCUCAGUGCCGUCUAGGAUGUCAAGCUAGCCACGCCUCCCUUAUAGAGAGCUCUGAUCUUAAACUCUUGUUUCACAUAUUAGUUUACUGAAUUUUAUACUCUGCUGUUUCUUCCAUUGAGAAGUUGGUUCAUGUAGCCAGUUAAUAUAGUUUCAGUUCAGGUUGAAUUAUUAAACUUACAGUGUUUCAUGCCUGCAGACCAAUUAAUAGACAUCGAGAGCAGCCCCUUUGGUGAAACUGAAGAGGAAGAAACCAGCUUGUGCCAGUUGAACUUAAUUGAUCUUGCUGGGUCUGAGAGUUACACGACUUGACCAACUGGAUUACAUUGUGAAGAAGGUUUGUUUUUAGGAAAUGGCAGCACUGUGCAUGUUCAUUAAGGAGGGAGAAGCUUACAAACUAACAUUACAAGUAUGUACAGAAGGAAUGUGUCAGAGCACCAGAAAAAAGGCUUAAAUUAAAAGGUAUGCAUGUUUUCAUAGAGAAAUGGCCAAUCAGAGCAUAACCUGGCCUGCCAGAGAACUUCUUUGAUUUGGUAGUGGAAAUUGACUGCAUUUGAAAAAUCCGAUGAUUGUGGUCCUUCCAAAUGCACCAUCCAGUGUAAAUCGCAGCCGAGAGCUGCUGUGCAUUUAGCUUGGAGGCAAAGUCGUAUCCAGCUGCACCAAGUUAUCAAGCCGCGGAGCAUUAAGCCAUGCAGCCAUUUCUUGCCAGACUCCGCAUGCAAAAGGGCAGCCAAGGAUGAGAUGGAAGUGUCUUAGGUUCCUGAUCACAAAGGCUGCAAGGCCGUCCAUGUUUGGCCAAGUUGUCAUUGGUUAAAAUUCUCUCCGCGCGGCCACAGCCAUCGAAAGAAUUUGCAUUUGGACUCCACUUUGGCCCGCCACAGUUUGGAAAAAUUACAGUCAGUGGAGGAACAGCAGAACUGGAUAGACUAGGCAGGGCUGGCAGAGUAUGAUUUCAAGGCUGUACUGGGACCAAACAGGUCAAAGGUUGGGAAAAUCGAUUCAAACCAGCUUUUCUUUGGUUUUGUUGCCGAUGAAACUUGUAAAAUUAAGAUCCCUGCAAGAGAAGUGGAUGAUUAUGUCUCUUGACACCCAGAAAAGAAUGAUCUCUUCACUGUUGGCAGUGCCUAUAAGCUGGGUUUGCAGAUCAAGAAUCCUGAAGAGGGGCCUAGUCAGAUGAGCGAAGGGUCGGGCAGCGAUUGGGGCUUGUGGGUUCCUAUCUGGAAGUGUUAUGCAUGAUUUUCGCGUGCAGAGCGGCUACUCAAUCUCUAACUAUAAAGCAUAACAAGCGUCGAACCCUGGACCGGAAUGUGACGACACCUGCAACAUCCAAGAGAGCGCCUUGAGCAAAAUCUAGAAGCUCCCUGACUUAGAUGAGUUCACCUUGACCCUGGGAGAGGACCCUCCUGCUGCUUUGGAGAUGGUCAUCUCAGAAAUCAGGGCUCGGGUACAGAGACGCAGAAAGUUUUGUUUGAAAAGUAGGGAAAAAUUGCAGAAAUGAACAAGUUGUAAGCAUAUGACAUCCAGAAUCAUGUUAUGUGGAACAAAAUGCAAAAGCUGCCACUGCAGUUGAACAAACUGAAGAUUAAUACUAAGCCCAGUAUUUUUGGUAUGAA